UGGGCUGCCUGGCCAUCAAGGGAGAACCCUUCUCCUGGCCAUUCUCCCCACACCCAGAAGUCUGCCAUUGCCUUUGUGCAAACAAAUUAUGAGCACAGGGGGAAGAGAAGGUGGCAGAACAGUUCAGAGUCACACAGUGACAGACAUCCCUGGGAACUGCCCCAGGUGGCUUGGGGGCUCAGUUACUGGUCUCUUUGGGCAGCCAGGAAUCAGGGACCAAUUUAAGAAGUGCCAACAAAAAGGCAAAGAUGGCUUGAUCCUGAAGCAUAAAACUCUCUCUGGCUUGCCACUUCCACCUGAAGUACAGGCAAUUGACACUGUGGUCUGACAGCCCCUAAGGAGAGCUGUCUAAGUUCUGGCAGUAGGUCAGGUUUAGCAUCUGGCAGAUUCUUUGUGAGACAGGCAGGCCCUCCCUGUGCACCAGACACUGGCAGGGCUGCCAGUACAUCCUCAGGAAAGUGGCAACUUCAGACAGCACCCACACACUCCCCAUGCUUCCCUCCCUCUUGGUUGUGUUCAAGCAGCUUCCUUCUUCCCAUCACUGCCAGUGGAGAUCCCACCCAUCUGUCAUGGCUCCAUACAGACAUCACACUCCCAGGAAGUCCUCCCUGGCUGCCUCAUGCAGGAGUGCUUUCUCCUGAUCUUAAACUUCCAAAGUGGCCAGGCAUGCCUGUAAUCCCAGCAUUCUGGGAGGUUGAGGCAGGAAGGUCAUAAGUUUGAGCCCAGCGUGGACAACUUAAUGACUUGCAGAGACCUGUCUGAAAAUAAAAAAUAAAGGUCUGGUGAUGUAGUUCAGUGCUAAGGUCCUAGGUUCAAGCCCCACCACCACAAUAAACAAAACAACCAACAAACAAAAUUCAACCCAACCAACCAACCAACAAACCACAAAAAAAACUUCCAAAGCACUUUGCCAUUCCCUCUGCCACACUGCAGACUUUUCUGUAUUGUGGGAGGCUAGGAGAAGACAAAAGACAUGCCCACAGAGGCAAGAAGCCUUUGCUGAGCUGGGUGCAGUGACCCAACACCUGUAAUACCAGCUACAUGGACGGCUGAGGCAGGAGGUUUGCAAGUUCAAAGCCAGUUGGGACAACUUGGUGAAACUUUAGUGUCUCAAAAAAAAAAUUGGCUAGAGGGCCUGGAGAUGUAGGUUAGCAUUCUGGUUCUCUAAAGGUUGAUUCAGCAUUUGUGCCUGGUCUAUGGACUAUAGUUUCUCAUUCUAAAAUGCUCAGUGAUUUAGCCCAUACCAUUUUUAGAAGAAUAUGAGCUCACAUCUGUUAACCUCCUAGCAUAUAUUAAGCUUACUAUAAUCUUUACAACUGCUGUAUUUUUUACUAGCAUUUAGAGAUGAUGAAACUGAACUUCAGAAAGAUGAAGUUACCGAGAUCCCUCAGGUCAUAAAAGGUGAAAACAAGAUUAGACACAAUUCUGGUGCCUACGCAGGGUAAAGGCACCAUGCUACACUCUUCUGGAUGAGUCAUAAUCCAUAGCAGGAUCUUGAUGAACCAGAGAAGUACUUUUAAUGCCACCAUCAAGAUGAGCAGCUGCAAAGACCACUCCCGAGGCCUGCCCUAGGUCUUAAGGUUCCCACUGCAAACUUCUUGAGGGUGCUAUGGAGAGGUGAACGCGAAGGAUCAGUAUUUCCAGCCUGGAGGAAAGGGCCACCCAAAAGAUAAAAUAAACACAUAAUAUAGGAAGUUAAGAAAUUAGUUUUAUUCCUAGGUAGCUGUGUCAUGUUGAGCAAAUUUCUAACCCUCUCUAAGCCUGUUUCCUUGAAACAGAGACUGUAAGGUAAGUGGAUAUGGAGAUUCCACAAAAGCCACUGAGAAUUAGAAGGCUGUGGUUCUACAAAGUCCGAGCAUGUGAAGCUGGACACUGUCUUAAGUCAGCAGGCUUGGUGGCUGUACUAGCCGUCUGGAAGGAAGGUUGGUGUGGUUCAGUAAUGCUGCAAGGCUCCCCUUCUCAGGACAGCACUUUAAUCUAGAAGAAUACAAUGAUAAAACACUGCUGAGAGACCCAGGACUUAUCUCCUGCCCCACUCAGGAAUCCUUCCAUCAGCACUAACCCUGUCCCACACCCAGAUAUGGUGUAGUGCUGGCAGACUCUUGCAGAAGCCCAGGGGGAGGUUCUGGUGGCCAAGGCCCUGCAAGACCAAGGGAUGUUGGAAAGGCUGGGCCAGAAACCUAGGACCUGGGUUCUAGCCUUGCAUCUGUGACUCUCUUUGCCAGUGUCCUUGACUUUAAAAGACCAUGGAUUCUAGCAAGAGGCCAAGCACAGCAGAGGGUGGGAGACCAUGGUGGGCCAGGUGGGCAGGGUGGGCUUACUGCUCAUCCACUGCCCUUGUGGCAGCAGCCUCACAGGACACCCAGCAGUGCUAGUCCUGAGACUGAAUCAUGAGCAAAUGUGCAAGUUUGGACUGAGGGCUGCAGUGGUUGCCUGGCCCAGGAAGGAGUCAGGUACGUACACAAACCUGCCUGACCCAGCAAACUAUCACUCAAACAAACCAGCAUGAGCCCUCCUCUGCUUGCUCCCCUGGGCCAACCUUGACCAAACAGAUGCAUUUCUAAAAGGCCAACAUAUACUUAGGGUUCCUAAAUAAAAGGGCUGCCGCCAAGUUUUCAAAUAGGUAUUCCAAAGAUUCAAAACAUUUUCAGUACAUUUUAUAUGAAGAAAUGAAUAAAGUCUGAGUUCCCUGGAACCUGUCACUUUUAAGUGUGCUUGGCUAAGCCAUUCUCCUUCAUGUGACAGUGGCUCUCUGUAGUGUGUUGUUUCAGAACCAAAGGGGUGACAGAGCCAGGACUACAUUAUAUUCAAGAAUGGUUUAAAGGUCAUCCGAAGGCAAAGAACAAUAAAGGAAAGAGGUGAAAAUACUUGGACCCUGUUCCUAGUGUGGCUACUGAAGGAGCCUGUAUAGGUCCAAGUAGCACCCCCUUACAAAUAGUGUAGGUGAUGCUUGCUUUACAGAGGAAUGCACAGCACCAAGUCCUGAAGAGAUACCAGGACCAUGAUUCACUCUAUCUUUGUUUGCACAGUUACGUUGCCAGUCAUGACUGGGUGGGCCCUGUGCUUAGGUGGAGAUGUGGAGGUGACAGAAAGGCAUAGGCAAUGCCCUUACAAACUCUUCAAUCUACUGUGGUCUGCAGAUCAUGGAAAAGUCAGCCAUGAUAUUGUGAGACCAAAUCAAAACCACUAUGAGACACUACUUUACACCUAACAGGUAGGUUAUUAUCAAAAAACCAGAAGACAACAAAUGUGGGCAAGGUUGUAGAGAAAUUAAAAAUAAAAUAACUGUGUGGCCCAGCAGUUCCACUUCUGGAUAUAUAACUAAAAGAACUGGAAGCAGAGACCUGAACAAAUAUUUGUAUACCACAUUCACAACACCAGUAUUUAUAAUAACCAAAAGAGAGAAACAACCUAAUGGUCUAUUGAGGGAUGAAUGGAUAAACAAAAUAUGGAUAUACAAUGGGACAAUAUUCAGCCUAAAAAGAGAGUUCUGACAUAUGUUGUAAUGUGGAUGAGCCUUGAGAACAUUAUGCUAAGUGAAAUAAGCCAGACACAAAAAGACAAACACUGUAUGACUCCAUUGAUAGGUGGUAUCUAAAGUAGUCAAAUUCACAGAAACAGCAAGGAAUGGCGGGUAUCGGGGCAGGAUGAAAAAGAAGGGAAUGAAGUAAAUGGAUACAGAGGUUCACACUGGGAAGAGGAAAACUCUCUGGAGAUGGAUGAUGGUGGUGGUUGCAUAACAGUGAAAUGUACUUAGUGCCACUGAAUGGAAAUUUUUUAUGUUAUGUAUAUUUCGCAGGUCGGGAAUUCAGUUCAGUGGUUCUGCCACCUGCCUCACAAGCACAAGGUCCCGAGUUUGAUCCCAGGUACAAAAAAAGAAAAAAAAAAAUUGCCUGGCAGAUACUGGGACAGGGGGCUAGAGAACAAACUGAAGCGGUAGAAAACCCAGAGUUGUAGGGAGGAGUUGUUGCUGCUAGAGAAAGAGGCCUCCUGAACUGAGAACCUACAGGCCCCGCACAGA